GGCGGCUCCGCGGGGUCAAGCAUCGGAACGCGGCCGUAAGAUCCCGCGCGUGCCGGAAGGUAUCUUCCCCAUCCCACGCGCCUACAGCUGUGCUCUUCAGGGUCUCUCUCCUGUGUGAACGCGCUGGUGGAUCACGAGGUGGGAUCUUCUUUUGAAGCCCUUUGAACAUUCAGAGCAUUUGAACGGUCUCUCUCCGGUGUGGAUGCGCUCAUGGAUCAGGAGGUUGGAACUGCUUCUGAAGCCCUUCUCACACUCAGGGCACUUGUAGGGUCUGUCUUCUGAGUGGAUGCGCUCAUGGUAAUCGAGCUGAGAACUGCACUUGAAGCUCUUCUCACACCUGGGACACUUGAAGGGUUUGUCUCCUGUGUGGAUGCGUUGAUGGACAGCAAGGUAGGAAUGAUCCUUAAAGCUCUUCCCACACUCAUUGCAUGGGUUCUGCCCGUUCUUCUGGCUCAGCUCUUUUGCCUGCUUUUGACCUUUGCCACAGGCCGGGGUUUCACUCACUCUCUUUCCUGGAUGGUUUCCCAGAGGCUUCUUCAUGUGCUUUCCUUGCUCCAGGCCUCCUUGGAAUUCCCUUCUGGUUUUCCCAAGAGAGAUGCCACCCCACUGACUUCUGGAUACACCACUCUCCUGCAGAUUCUCCUUUGAAUUUGUGAUCCCAUCACCUGCUGGAUGACAAAGAAAAUCCAGAACUAGCUUACUGUGCCCAAAAUAUGCACCAGCUGAUCCCACAGGGGCUCCUGCCAACCCCAACCUCCUCCUUUCCUCCAUCACCUCACCCGAGCAGAUGUCUCCUGCCAUGUCCUUCAGGCUGUGUACAUCUGGGAUCCAGGGAUCUUCCCCUCCUUCGAGCAGGGGGAUCACCACAGGUUUAGAUGCUUAAAUGAUAGAAAUAGUGGAGAUGAAAGCAUUUCCUUGAUUCUGGCAAAGCUGCUUACGCAGCACCUCCACUGUGUCCCCCUCCCUUCUUAUGAAACCACAACUAGGGCCUGAGUGACGUGGGGCCAACACAGACUGCCUUGCUUUGGAGUACAGCAGAAUUUUCCAUCUCUGAAAAUUAUGCUGGGGCUUUUCUUAAAAAACAUGACACACAGCAACGCAAGGAAAGCAUGCAGGGGGCUGAUCCUCCCCCUCCUGACUGAUGUCAGAGUGACAGCAGUGCAGCUGACUCUUCUAUCAGAGUGGGCCAUUCUGCACAGCCUAAGGUGUCCUGACAAGGAAGAAAGGCAGCAGUGCCCUCACCCAGCGAGGCUAUGCACUCAUACGUCUCCAGCAUCACAUCCCAGUACAGGGCUCGCCGCGCAGGGUCCAGCAGCGCCCACUCCUCCCUGCUGAAAUACACGGCCACGUCCCCAAAGGUCACGGGCUCCUGUAAACAAAAAGGCUCCUUGCUGCAACCACCUGGGGCCUGGGGACACAGCUUGUUGAGGAGGGAAACCCCAGCCCCAGCAGCUUCUCUCUCCAGCACACAAAUGCAUGGGCAAGGGCAUCUCACGCUCCCCUUGCGUUCACAUGCCUUGCAUCUCUGUCCCACUGACUGCUUCCCCAAGCCCCUACCUGGGAUGGAUGUGCUGUGGCCAUUUGCUGCCCUCCUGCAGGUUGGGACGGUCACAGGUGAAAGGCAGGCAGCCUGUGGGGACAAGAGGAACAGAGGGCAACUGUGAGGGAAUGCAGCAGUCCCCAUCCUACCCAGCCCUCCCCAGCUGUGGCAGCAGCUCAGCACCACAGUGCCCUUUGGUCGCUGCCCCCACAGUGAGAUGAGGAAGAGAACGAGAAGCAAAACAGAACUCGUGCGUUGAAAUAAUACCUAUUGACCAAAACAAGAAAGAAAACGGCAAAAAUACAAUUCAAUAAAACAAGCAUGUAUACAUAUAUA